rnacentral:misc_RNA from 1 species
AAGUCGUAACAAGGUUUCCGUAGGUGAACCUGCGGAAGGAUCAUUAACACGUAUCCACGUAUCAACCAAUUGGUUCACUUGUACUAAUAGAACGUACCUGACUGGGGGAUGAAUUGGAAUGAAAUCGAGUGUGAGUAUGAAUGGAACGAUCAGAUUCAACCCUGAGAGUUCAUCACACGAGACGAUAUGGAACUUUCCUAACAAUUGUACUCCCAGUAUCAGAUUCACCCUUUCUGCUCGUUCUGAUCGUCACUCAUCGAUCUGCGAGUGGAAUCUCUGACAUACACAUAUUUCACCACCUUUUUGCUAGUUGACUUUUAUAUGUUGUUUGAUCACACUGUACUGUUGUGGCCAUUCACACGUUUCUUAUAUGAACGUUAAAUUUACAACUCUUAGCAAUGGAUAUCUUGGUUCUC